GCCGGGCGUGGUGGCUCACGCCUGUAAUCCCAGCACUUUGGGAGGCCAAGGUGGGAGGAUGGCUUGAGCCCAGGAGUUCAAGACCAGCAUGGGCAACAUAGUGAGACCCUGUCUCAAAAUAAAUAAAUAAAUAAAUAAAUAAAUAAAUAAAUAAUUUUUUUAAAAAAGAAAAGUAGUUUCUUUUCUUGUUGUUAAGAGAUAGGGUCUCGCUAUGUUGCCCAGGCUGGCCUUGAACUCCUGGGCUCAAGUGAUCCUCCCACCUC
rnacentral:SRP_RNA from 1 species